rnacentral:pre_miRNA from 1 species
GAUAAGUGUAGCCGUGAAUAUCCGUGCCCAACAUUUGACCGUCCGUCUUAUUUAAAAAAUUUAUGAAAAAAUUGAAAAUAUUUACUAUUCAUGUUUUAUCAUCUAAUAGCAGUAAAAAUACCAAUCAUAAAAAAUUUUUAAAUAAAACAAACGGUCAAACGUUGAACGUGAAUAGUACAAAACUGCACUUAUU